UAGGUGACCAUGGUUUCUGAGUCCACAUUUGCAUGAUUUGUUUGACUUCGAGGUUCCUUCAUCCGCUGCCUACGAGCUCUACUGUAGGAGUUCUUGGGCGACGAUCCUGGUCUUCAUCACACUCGUAUACCACCUUCUCACCGUCAUCAUCUUCUCUCGCCCUGCGUUAACCGCCACUCCGACGCAGGGACUCCGCUGGUGAGUUGAAAUUAGAAUUAAUUGCUUAAGGAGUUUAAGGAGGGUUGGAAGGCAGCUGAGAAACUAGUUAUGCACUGGAAGAUACUCAGAGGAGACAAUGUAUAUAAUCAGGGGCGAGGAUAAAGGUGAGAAAGGUCUUAUAAAGUGUGUUAUCCACUCUCAAAAUCGCAUUAUUGUUGAUGGGAAGAAUCUGGUGAGUUACACUUACACUACUUCUAAGCGUUGCUUUCUAUUUACAUCACAUUUUAUGCAAUAAUUUUGUAUCGGCAUUCUAUGUUGUUCUGUGCCAUGAGUGAAUUAUAGGAAAUGCCUACCUAUUCUGAUGAAAUAGAUACAGUAGUAGGUGGUUGUUGGAAAUUGGAACUCCCUAUGGCACAGUUGCAUUUACAAGUCAAUAAGAACAAAAAAUGCCUGUACUUCUGGUUCUGCAAAAUCUUCUCAAAUGUUGCAUAUCCAAACGUUCUUUAGAUGCUUCACUUACCGUAAGAGAAAAAAAAAAAACAGAACAGCUAGAAGAGUAUGAAACCCAUUGGUAAUAUCACUUGAGA